CUACGGGAUGCUCCAGUGGGGAAUAUUGCACAAUGGGCGCAAGCCUGAUGCAGCCAUGCCGCGUGUAUGAAGAAGGCCUUCGGGUUGUAAAGUACUUUCAGCGGGGAGGAAGGGAGUAAAGUUAAUACCUUUGCUCAUUGACGUUACCCGCAGAAGAAGCACCGGCUAACUCCGUGCCAGCAGCCGCGGUAAUACGGAGGGUGCAAGCGUUAAUCGGAAUUACUGGGCGUAAAGCGCACGCAGGCGGUUUGUUAAGCCAGAUGUGAAAUCCCCGGGCUCAACCUGGGAACUGCAACUGAUACUGGCAAGCUUGAGUCUCGUAGAGGGGGGUAGAAUUCCAGGUGUAGCGGUGAAAUGCGUAGAGAUCUGGAGGAAUACCGGUGGCGAAGGCGGCCCCCUGGACGAAGACUGACGCUCAGGUGCGAAAGCGUGGGGAGCAAACAGGAUUAGAUACCCCUGUAGUC
rnacentral:rRNA from 1 species